rnacentral:rRNA from 1 species
UACGGAGGAUCCGAGCGUUAUCCGGAUUUAUUGGGUUUAAAGGGUGCGUAGGCGGCCUAUUAAGUCAGGGGUGAAAGACGGUAGCUUAACUAUCGCAGUGCCUUUGAUACUGAUAGGCUUGAAUGUACUUGAGGUAGGCGGAAUGUGACAAGUAGCGGUGAAAUGCAUAGAUAUGUCACAGAACACCAAUUGCGAAGGCAGCUUACUAUGGUGUCAUUGACGCUGAGGCACGAAAGCGUGGGGAUCAAACAGU